UACGUAGGUGGCAAGCGUUGUCCGGAUUUACUGGGCGUAAAGAGCGCGCAGACGGUCGUAUAAGUCGAAUGUGAAAGCCCCCGGCUCAACUGGGGAGGGUCAUUCGAUACUGUUCGACUCGAAGGCAGGAGAGGGAAGUGGAAUUCCGGGUGUAGUGGUGAAAUGCGUAGAUAUCCGGAGGAACACCAGUGGCGAAGGCGACUUUCUGGCCUGUUCUUGACGCUGAGGCGCGAAAGCUAGGGGAGCAAACGGG
rnacentral:rRNA from 1 species